rnacentral:ncRNA from 1 species
GGACCAGGGGAAUCUUACUGUUUAAUUAAAACAAAGCAUCGAAGGCCCAAGGUGGGUGUUGACGCAAUGUGAUUUCUGCCCAGUGCUCUAAAUGUCAAAGUGAAGAAAUUCAAUGAAGCGCGGGUAAACGGCAGGAGUAACUAUGACUCUUAAGGAGUCCUUAGCCCAGGACAUUGGGGGUCUAUGCUUCCC